rnacentral:lncRNA from 1 species
GAGGUUUAGAGGUAUGGGACUGUAGGUGGAGGUAUAGAGGUAUGGGACUGUAGGUGGAGGUAUAGAAGUAUGGGACUGUAGGUGGAGGUAUAGAGGUAUGGGACUGUAGGUGGAGGUAUAGAGGUAUGGGACUGUAGGUGGAGGUAUAGAGGUAUGGGACUGUAGGUGGAGGUAUAGAGGUAUGGGACUGUAGGUGGAGGUAUAGAGGUAUGGGACUGUAGGUGGAGGUAUAGAGGUAUGGGACUGUAGGUGGAGGUAUAGAGGUAUGGGACUGUAGGUGGAGGUAUAGAGCUAUGGGACUGUAGGUGGAGGUAUAGAGGUAUGGGACUGUAGGUGGAGGUAUAGAACUGUAGGUGGAGGUAUAGAGGUAUGGGACUGUAGGUGGAGGUAUAGAGGUAUGGGACUGUAGGUGGAGGUAUGGGACUGUAGGUGGAGGUAUAGAGGUAUGGGACUGUAGGUGGAGGUAUGGGACUGUAGGUGGAGGUAUAGAGGUAUGGGACUGUAGGUGGAGGUAUAGAGGUAUGGGACUGUAGGUGGAGGUAUAGAGGUAUGGGACUGUAGGUGGAGGUAUAGAGGUAUGGGACUGUAGGUGGAGGUAUAGAGGUAUGGGACUGUAGGUGGAGGUAUAGAGGUAUGGGACUGUAGGUGGAGGUAUAGAGGUAUGGGACUGUAGGUGGAGGUAUGGGACUGUAGGUGGAGGUAUAGAGGUAUGGGACUGUAGGUGGAGGUAUAGAGGUAUGGGACUGUAGGUGGAGGUAUGGGACUGUAGGUGGAGGUAUAGAGGUAUGGGACUGUAGGUGGAGGUAUGGGACUGUAGGUGGAGGUAUAGAGGUAU